rnacentral:rRNA from 1 species
UGAGGAAUAUUGGACAAUGGGCGCAAGCCUGAUCCAGCCAUGCCGCGUGAGUGACGAAGGCCUUAGGGUUGUAAAGCUCUUUUUGGCGGGGAAGAUAAUGACGGUACCCGCAGAAUAAGCUCCGGCUAACUUCGUGCCAGCAGCCGCGGUAAUACGAAGGGAGCUAGCGUUGUUCGGAAUCACUGGGCGUAAAGCGCACGUAGGUGGGCAGUUAAGUCAGGGGUGAAAGCCCGAGGCUCAACCUCGGAAUUGCCUCUGAUACUGCAAAUCUCGAGUCCGAUAGAGGUGAGUGGAAUUCCUAGUGUAGAGGUGAAAUUCGUAGAUAUUAGGAAGAACACCAGUGGCGAAGGCGGCUCACUGGAUCGGUACUGACGCUGAGGUGCGAAAGCGUGGGGAGCAAACGGGAUUAGAUACCCCCGUAGUCCCUGAGCGGGCUGGCAAGGCGCAU